rnacentral:lncRNA from 1 species
CUUUUUCAUUUAAUAAUAAUAAAAAAAAAAUAAAUAAAUAAAUAGCGGUUACAAAUAUAUAUUCUAUAUUAAUUCAAGGAAAAACUUCAGAAAUGCUCCCAGUGGUUUCGCACUUUUUUAUUUUAGUACUCUGUAAUUUAAAGUGUAUCAAGUUAGUAUCCUGUGGUUUCGCAUUUUCUCACUUUAAUACUCUGUGGUUUAAAGUGUAUUAAGUUAGUACUCUGUGAUUUUAUUUUUGUAUCAAAUUAGUACCUUUUGGUUUUUAAACUACGGGAGUAUUAAAGUGAUAAAGUGCGAAACCAUAGGGUACUAAAGUGAGAAAGUGCGAAACCACAUGGUACUAACUUAAUACACUUUAAACCAUAGGGUACUAAAGUGAGAAAGUGCAAAACCACAGGUUACUAAUUUAAUAUACUUUAAACCACAGAGUACUCAAAUGAGAAAGAGUGAAAUCAAAGGGGGGUAUUUGAAGUUUUUCCUUAAUUCAAUUAUUAUUUACAAAGAUUUUUUUUUUUUUUAAUGCAC